AAUUCUUAACAAACUCCAUAUAUUAUUUAUGUAGUCUACUAUUUAAUUAAUUAAGUUUAUGGUUAAUAUUUAAUUAGUAUGCAUAAACUAUUAGUUAUUUUAGACUAAACUUAUCCUAAUGAUCACGUGUGCAAAGGAUAUGCUCCAGUAAUGUCUCCUCAUUAUUAUAGUAGUUGGUUUGGGCCCCAAUAUCAAAAGUUAAUCCCCAAGUCAGAUUAUAUCAAACAGGAGGUUAGGAUUUCCAAACCAAAUUUCUGGGAUGUACUUGGACGAAAUUUAGAGUUCUAAUUUCAGUGAAAUUCCACUCCCCACGUGAUUACCCUACACCGUGGUUUAGUAUAAAUAUAGCACUAAGCCUCAAGCAUUCAGUAAUUAAUUCCUCAUUCUUCUUCUGCGCGUCUUUAUUCUCUCCUCCUCUUUAAAAUAUUUCUCCAUAUUAUUAAGGCUUUUUAAGGCUUUGGAAUUGCAAUAAAGAAUCACGUUUUCAGCAAUUUUACUUUCCACGUUCAUCUUCAAAAGGUGAGAUGCUCAGUGCUAUUAGUGGUUUGUCCACAUCUUUUCAAAAACGUUGUUAUGUAUGGAUUUAAUUACUUCAGUUCAGAGCUCUUUUGGGAGAAAUCAUGAUACAGUUUAAGGCACAAUUUAACCUUCACGUUAUUUGCAGCGCUUGCUUGAAUUAUCAUUUGUCAUGGUGUGAUAAUUCUCAUGUUAUGUUGGUAGAAAUUAGUAUGCUGGACGACGGUGGAUGGAUGCAUAUUGGACCAAUGGAUCUCCAUCAUGAAGUACUUUAAUUUUUAGAAACACUAGAAUAUUUAUUAACAGUUGAUUAUUAUUAUUUUUAAAUUUAGACUCAAUUGUGAGUCACGUCAUAACUUUCAAUUAGUCCUAUUUUUAUUAUUUGUUAGAACUACUUUUAUUAAUGUUUGAUAAAAGAUAUGAUUCCAAAUUGUUCCGCAUAUGUUAUUUAAUUUAAUUUACCUUUUGUUAA